GACGAACGCUGGCGGCGUGCUUAACACAUGCAAGUCGAACGGAAAGGCCCUGCUUUUGUGGGGUGCUCGAGUGGCGAACGGGUGAGUAACACGUGAGUAACCUGCCCUUGACUUUGGGAUAACUUCAGGAAACUGGGGCUAAUACCGGAUAGGAGCUCCUGCUGCAUGGUGGGGGUUGGAAAGUUUCGGCGGUUGGGGAUGGACUCGCGGCUUAUCAGCUUGUUGGUGGGGUAGUGGCUUACCAAGGCUUUGACGGGUAGCCGGCCUGAGAGGGUGACAGGCCACAUUGGGACUGAGAUACGACCCAGACGCCGACGGUAGGGAGCAGUGGGGAAUAGUGCACAAUAGGCGGAAGCCUGAUGCAGCAACGCCGCGUGCGGGGUGAAGGCCUUCGGGUUGUAAACCGCUUUCGCCUGUGACGAAGCGUGAGUGACGGUAAUGGGUAAAGAAGCACCGGCUAACUACGUG
rnacentral:rRNA from 1 species